GGGCCCGCACAAGCGGUGGAGUAUGUGGUUUAAUUCGAUGCAACGCGAAGAACCUUACCAGGGCUUAAAUGCAGAACGACAGAGGUGGAAACACCUCCUUCUUCGGACGGUCUGCAAGGUGCUGCAUGGUUGUCGUCAGCUCGUGCUGUGAAGUGUCGGGUUAAGUCCCAUAACGAGCGCAACCCCUAUUUCUAGUUGCCAGCGGUUCGGCCGGGGACUCUAGAGAAACUGCCAGCGUAAGCUGUGAGGAAGGUGGGGAUGACGUCAAAUCAUCACGGCCCUUACGGUCCUGGGCUACACACGUGCUACAAUGGUAGGGACAGAGAGUUGCCAACCCGCGAGGGUGAGCUAAUCUUCAAACCCUAUCUCAGUUCGGAUCGGAGUCUGCAACUCGACUCCGUGAAGUUGGAAUCGCUAGUAAUCGCAUAU
rnacentral:rRNA from 1 species